rnacentral:rRNA from 1 species
AUGGCCGUCGAGCACGGAUCCUCCUCCUCCGCCGCCACCAGCUCUGCCUCCUCGCCGAGCUCCCUCUCCUCCGCCUCUUCCGCAGCCACGUCCGGCGGCACCAUGGCCUCUACCUCACCGGCCUUCGUGUUCGGCACCACUUCGGCCCACACCACCGGCUCCUCUGCUCCCUCUGCGUCCCAGUUCGCCCCCCUUUUCUCCUCCCAACCAUCCCCACCACCACCACCGGCGCCCCCUGCUCGCCAUCCCAUGUUCAACGAUCAUGUGUCCAACCACAUCAAAUUCCUCCUCGACCCCGACGAACACAACUUUCACAAAUGGAAGUCCUUCUUCCUCAUGGUCCUCGUCCGCCAUGGCCUCUCCUACCUCAUCGAGCACCCUCCUCCCCCAAACGCCGAUUCCCAGUACCUUGAGCUCGACACCCAUGUCGCUCUGGGGGUGUAUGCCACCCUUGCGGACUCCCUCAUCGACCACGUCAUCGGCGCCACCACUACCUACGAUCUCUGGACCCGGAUCAACGCCUACUUCCUCGCCAACCGCGCUGCUCGGUACAUGACGCUCAACAGGCAGUACCGGAAUCUCAAGCAGGGAGAUCUCUCGGUCGCCGAGUACGCGCGGCGCAUGAAGCAGCUCACCGCCGGCCUCGCCGACAUCGACCACGCCGUCACCGAGGUCGACCUCACCUCCCAGUUCCUCCAUGGCCUUGAUGGGCGCCUUGACACCAUUCGGCUCGUCCUGGGCGACACUGUUCCCCUGCCACCGUUCGAGACCGUCUUCUCGCGCGUCAAACUCGCCGAGGAGAACCUCGCCCAACGCGCUUCCGAGGUCAGCGCCACGGUGCUCGCCGUCCAUGGAUCUGGCGCGCCUCCCAGUGGCUCCUCCGCCACUUCCGGCUCCCCUGGCGCCGGCGGUUCCGCUCCUCGCUCGGGUGAUCGCGGGACCGAUCGCUCUCAGGAUCGUGGGCGCGGCUCCUCCUCUCGCCAGCAUGAUCACGGUGACCGCGGCCGUGGGCGCGGCCGUGGGCGUGGGCGCGGUCGCGGUGACCAGGGCGGCCGGGGCUCUGCAUCGACCUUCAACCCCUACAUGGGCUUCUUCGCCCCCUACGGCAUGGCCUUGCCCUCGCCACGCUCCGGCUGGAUCCCGCCCAACGCUGCUGGUGUCCUCGGACCACGCCCGGAUGUCCACGCCAACGCGUACUCCAUGCAGUUCCCGCCCUACUCCGCGCCACCUCCGCUCCAGGCGCCGUCUUGGGAUCAUCUCGCCAUGCUCCAGGCGGCCUACAGCUCUCAAGGCUUCCCCAACAACGGCAACGGCCCCGCCGAGUGGUACCUCGACAGCGGUGCUUCCUCCCACGUCACCGGCAACCCUGGUAACAUUCACCGGUCCAAUCCCUCUUUAAAGCAUCAUUUAUCUCAUAUUGUUGUUGGCAACGGCACUCACCUCCCCAUACAAGCCAUCGGUUCCACCACCCUCCCACACAACUUUCACUUGCGUGACGUUUUGUUCUCACCCCGGCGUUGUUACUAG